UGCAUUCUUGUUUACAAGUGGUACUGCUAGUAGGUUUAAGUUAUGACUACAGAAAAACAAACGAAAGUUCCAUACUGCAUUGCAGUUGGUUUCAGCAAUCGUUAUAAAAAAGAGAAGCGACUAGACACGUUUCCUCCUGACAAAUAAAGAAAAUACUAUAGAACAUUAAAGUUAAACGAAAGAUCUGGUUGGCAACGAAGCAUUUAUUAGUUAUGUGAGAGACAUUUUGAAGAUCAAUUCAUAAAGACAUUAGCAAGAUGGAAAAACAGACUAGAGCCAAAUGCUGUACCAACAAUAUUUUCACUAAUGACAGUUAAACCAAAGAGAAAUUCAAGAAAAAAGAAAACUGCCAAAUACUGAUACAUUUCAGACCUGGCUUGAAUUUUGAAGUGAAGAGUAAUGGAAAAUGACCAUUACUAUGUAACACUGUUUUGUUUCAGGUAUUAUACUAGUAGCCCUUCUCUGAACCUUUCUAACAAUGCAGUGUCCUUCAUAAGGAUUUUCCUACAGUCACCAUUUUUGGAUCAGGAUGCAUGAUAUCAAGUAUUUUUAUUUUUUAAGGAAACAAAGUAAGUUAAUUAUUGCUUUUCCUUGAUUAAAGAAUAGUUGUUCAUUAAUGUAUGUAUAAGUAUUUUGGGCCUCAAUCUUUUGAGGCACUAUGUAAUGGCUGUUAUUGAUUUUUUUUUCACUAGUAAAUUCAAGAUUUUUACUAGCAACAACAUUCUUCUUCUAAAAUUAGCUGUAACAUAAUUAUUUGAUGUAUUAAGUGUUAAUAAAUAGUAAGUGUAUGUAUGCCAAAUGUGUGUGUGUGUAUAUAUAUAAUUUAUGUCAUGUUUUCUUUUCAAAUAUCAAAACUAAUUUUAAUUACAUAGAAAAGUAUUUCUAUUGUAACUAUUUCACAAAAGCUAAAAGAUGAUUUAAUUGGGCAGAAACUAGAACAUCUCCACCACAAGCUCCUGAAUUGACAAAGUUUACAGUACCUCACUGCUGAUGGUUACCCUGUACUAAAAACAGUAUUUUAUUAUUACAAAUUACUGUUUAAAGCUGAAAGAUGGCAAAACAUUAAAACCAAUGGGUAUAAACAUUUUUGUUACUUGUAAAAAUUAAGAGAAAUAUGGAAACAACAUCUGCAGUUUAUGUGAUUUCUAUUUUAUU